AUUUUUUGUGUUUUUCUCGUAUAUUUUGCACUUCAGUUUCCUUCACUACAAUGCUAGUAGCCAACGGGUCAAAUAGUAAAUUUCCGACUUCCGACAAGCUAAUGCUAACAUUAGCUUGACCGAGAUUCAAUGUGCAUUGCAGACUAUCAUGAUAAAUGGAUAGGGAAAAAUGUCAUAAAUGGAGCCUGUCACAUUUACAUUUAUUUCAAAUUCAAGAAAAAACUAUAUUAUCUAUUACUAUUUAAAAAAAAUUGAUUCACGUUUGAUAUUCGAUCAUAACGUCGCUUCAUUCAAGCCAAUAACUUUUGAGAAAGGAGCAGUGGUUGAAAAUAGUCAACUUUUCUGUGCAGUUUAAUAUAAAAUUAAAAGAUGCCACUCUGAAACUCGAAAUACAAACAUAAAGUGAUAACACAAGCCAGUUUGCUAAAAUAAUUUUUUAAAGUCUGGCAUCAUCCUCUUUUUCAACCACAGCGAGUCUCUUUUAACCUGCGUCUUAACGAGCUAAAUAGCGUACACAUUAAAUGUAAAGAUUUUCAUUCCAUGCUGGAAACGUAAGUGUUCAUUUUAAACACAUUCGAGGUAUGAAGAUACCGUAGUUCAUGAAGAGAAUGGAGAGGGGAAUUAAUGAGCCGGGGUGCGUUGUGCCCGGAUGACUUUCUGGAGGGACCGCCCCCUCCUCGGAGACAAUUCGGGAAGGAAAUGGAUGGCUCGGGUGUCCAUCUUGCUGAUCUUUUCAAAUAUGUUUUUCAGGUUUGUACGCUGAGAAGUCCACAAAAUUAUACCCUUACAUUUAAACAAUGUUAAAUUAAACGUAGCGCGAGUUUGAAGUGUGUUGUUGACGGACUGUAGCUUGUUAUUCGAACUUAGAAAGAAAGCUAAAAAUAGCGCCGCCGUUUAGCGCGGGAAGCGAUCAUUCUACAACGUACCGCGAGAUUUGAGAUCACUGUUAGCAUUAAGAUUUGCUUCUCCAAACAUUAUAUUUAAAGCAAGAUCCCUUGACACUUGACAUACAAACUAAUAUUACUUGUUUUGGUGUGAACAAGAUUUUUAUACGAUUCAGGAGUAAGGUUAUUGGGGUAUGUUGUUAUAGUGAGAAAAAUUGUUUGUGUUCCUUGUGGGUUGAAACUCAACUGUUGUUGAGAAUAAGAAAUAUUUCCUUUGCAAGAUGUUGUACAGUUUUGAUAAAUGCAGUUUUAUAUUGCAGCAAAAGGUUUAUUGUACAGCUUUACUGUUUUCUGGCAUCCUGUUGAUUUGUAUUGAUUCGUGUGCUUUGUAUGAUUUGACAAAACCUGAAGAAGUUUUCUACAAUUCAUUGUUAACUUUUGAGAAGAACUUAGUGAAUGUUGAAGAUAUGAGAAGCCAUAUGAAUCGGACUUUAUUAAAGAAACAUGGACACUCUUACUAUGGACAUCCUAAUACAGACACUCCUGCACAGAGUAACGUUUUAUAUGUUUUUAAAUGUGUUUUUUAGUUCUGUAAUAAAAAAUGACAACUCGGGAAGAAAAUGAACGGCUCGGGUCUCCAUCUUAACGAUCUUUUCAACUGUGUUUUUCAGAUUAAGAGGUGCUGAACCAAAAAUCAUUUUUUACAGUAAAACUCAUCUUAGAAAUCUGUAACAUAAACAACUUAGGCUAUGUUCACACUGCAGGUCAAUUCUGAUUUUUUAACCAUAUGUGACACAUAUCUGAUUUUCUCACGUAAGUGUGAACAGUGAAAUUCUGAUUUUUUUCAAAUCCGACCUAGGCCUCUUUUGUAUGGUGAUAUAAAGUGGAUAUGUAUCUGAUAUGACUGCCGUGUGGACAUUCAGGUCGCGUUCAUCCAACCUUUACGUCAUCAAUAUGCGACAAACGGCGCCAUUGUUCGACAACACAAACAGGCGUGGAAAGCAAUUUGUGCGCAUGCGGGUCACUUCACGUAUGCAUUAAGUUCACAUUAGAUGCCGCAUUCAUUAUUGUAAUGUGAACGACCGCACAAAAAGAUCGGAUUCAACAAAAAAUCCGAAUUGUGCACCAUAACCUGCAGUGUGAAUGUAGCCUUAGUAGCCUAACAGACGUUUUCUCACCUGUAGAUGUUACAGCUAGCUGUUUCCAUGGGAGCCAUUACGACGGCUGCGCCAAAAUGGUGCAAGAUGACAGCAUGUUAAAAAAAAAAAAAGAUUCAAUAACAGGGAAACCAUGGCCAGUCAAAAAGCAACACAAUAGUUUAAACAUUUUCCAUACAGGGUUAACCAGUGAUAGGAUAUAAUGUUCAACAGUGAAUAUAAGAGGUUGUUAGCUUUUCAUUGCUAGCUGCCCCCACCCGCUUCCAUGCCAACUGUUAACUCAGCAUAAAUGCUGCAACAGUAGCCUCCCUGUGUAAAACAAUAAUCAUAGCAGCUCCUAAAAGUCAAGAUAAAUGUAUUUCACACACAAGAUAUUGACCAUUGCAUGCAAGAAAUUAACUUUUUAAACUUUUAAGUGAUUUGUAUCAUGCACACAGGUUUAUUAUACAAGAUAAUUAUAUUUUUAGGACAAAAUCGUAGCUUGUUCUUAUAAGAAACUUCUGUUGUAUACACUGCACAAUAAUAAAUGCACAUGUUCUAGUUUAGCACAUUUUCACACCUUGUCCAAACACCCAAGUUACUCAUGCUUUUUAGAUGACUUUAUAUGUCUACUGGGUGUGUCUGGUGUCUUUUAAACUUGAUGAUACAUUCCCCUCAAGCAUAAUCAAGGUCCCUAUGACGAGAGGAUUUAGCAACAUAUUAAUCAUCAGAGUUACUCAUAUUUUGUCCUGCAACAUGCUCGUGGCACCCAGGCUCUCUCAGAUUAGAAUUUCAAAGAUAAGUGGACACUGGCUUUGAUAGUGUGUCUGAGCCUCUUCACCUUUCCUCUGCCCUCAGUCUUCUCACUAAUGAAAUCUUAAAAUAACCUGCCUGCUGCUGGCAAAAGUAGGUCAGAGCACCAAUGCGAAGCCAAUUCAAGACAAAAGCAUCAAGUAGUGCAUUGUGGGUAUUUCCCCCUGUGGUAGAAUUGAGGUGGGGGCCGGUGUAUGCAUGCUGGUGGAUGCCUGUUCUUGUCUUUUUUUUUUCCUGCAGAGGCUGAGGUGGCUGGUGGAGCAGUCAACAACCGUUUCCAUUAGCACACAGUCAGAACUUCAUCGACUUUUUACUGUGAGGUAAAAUACAAACGGACGUGUUUGUGUUCUUCAAGCUCAUGCAUAUUGCUUGUGUUUAUUUGGUGCACCCAUCUACUAAUAGUAAACAGCAUUGUUCAUUCCUGUCAUCUUUUGUUUUUGUUGUCAGACAGAUCAUGCUGACCCCAACACAACUACAUCUACUGCAGCUGAUAUGAUUCAGUCUGAUUGGUUAAGGGUAAGAAGCUUCUCCAUCUGUGGACCCUGUGCAUGUGGUUGGAGACUUGAGAAUUUUGUCUUUCAGAUUUAACAAUCACAGAGAAUGAGAAGUAUUUAUCGAUCGAUUCCUUUGUGAUUUAUCAAUAGCUGGAAAGGCAAUAUGCAUUUUCACCAUAUUGACUCACAGGCAGCUGGAAGACAUUUUCACAACAUUAGCACCUUGUAGCUUCCUAAAAGUGUAAAUAUGUGUAAAAUCAAUAACUUCCAUCAAAUGCUAAUACAAGCUUGCCUAAAGCUAAAUCACAGUUAUUGGUUUUAUACCAAAACAAGCUGUUGCCUAACAGUAACUUAUGGGCUUUUAGUUUUUAGUGUUUUAACUUGUAAUAUGGCAUGGCAUCCCUCUGGAUUUUUUCAUCCAUUGUCCAUGUUGUUGGAGAAAUAAAAUUAACUCUUGUCACUAAUCAAUCUUAAUAUAGUUAAAGCUCCUGUGAGGAAUUUUAGGUUUGUGUCUUUGCGUUUGCCUUUGUUGUCCUCUCUCAAAACUAUUCCAAUCAGUAAAAAUGGCCAAUGGAUGUGCUGAAAAGUAAAAUCCUAUAUCUGUUAUCUUACGUUAUAGGCACAAAAAUGAGAACUUUUGCAAAUGAUAUGGAUCAGUUGUUAAAUUAUUUGUCCAAGUUUAAAGUUAAAGGUUUGUGGGCCAUAGGAAAUUUGAAUUUUGGGGAUUUUAGAGCCGUAUUGCAAGUGUUUCUGACCAGUAACAACACAAAUACACUAAACAGGAUAUGUUUAUGUGUGCAAAAUGGUAGGACUCCCUACAAAUAUGUAACCAGAAACAAUAUUAAAGCAGCAUUAGAGCCAUCAUAGUGAUAUCAGAGGAAACUGUGUCAGUGUCACCAAGUCUGCUGAAUGGAUGGGAAAACAGAUACCCACUUACACAAUCCAUACUAGACAAAAUCCCUGUUUUCAUGUCCUUCUGUCUCUCUAAACCCUUCAAGCUGUCCAAACUGACAAAUACAUCCAGCCAAUGAUAUAAUAGCUAUUAAUGAGACUUCUCUUGGCAAUUAUAAAUUUUGCAAAAAAAAAGCAGAGAUGUUUAUCUGAAACCACAGAACCUCUCCACAAUGACAGCUUUCCUGCUAGUGCUGCUCGAUCAACAAGUCUUGAGGUAUUGCUUGUGCGCUCUCCAUCUGGCUGCUGCUGAUAAGAACUUACUGGGGGCUGCUGGAUAAUAGUCUUGCGAGCUUAAAAGCAGGAGGGCGGGAAGGGGGAGGAUGGGGGCAUAAUUUAUUCUAGGGGAAUCCAGCAAACAGGGCCCUAUAAACCGAACCAUCCUCUCCCCCCUCUGAGAACAUUUGAGCAGAAGACAGCCUCUUCCAUGUUGCCUGUAGGGGUGGGGGGUGGGGGGGGACAUCAUGCUGCUUCAGCUAUGAUUGCCUCCAGCUUGAUUUUAUUCCUGAAGAGACAAGAUGGCUGCACAAACACAUGAGGCAUAUCCAUGACCUAGCACUGCACAUGUAGAGCGCAAUAACGGAGCAAAGCGAGAGAAUAUGGUUCGCUUGUGCACUAGAGUUGAUCUAUUUCUCAGCACUGCACCUGCAAAAACCGUCUUUUUGCACUGACAUGUAGAGCUGUUAGGACCUCUAUUUUCAGGGUCAGAGACACUGACUUUUUCUGUUUGUCUGAACCCUCGGGUGUACCCAGACUGACAGGAGUGCCUCAUGGGAGAAGACAGAUCAGAAAAUGAUAAAUGGUUUUCUAUGUUUGACCAACUGUACAAUGUGCAUACUGGUCUCGUAGAGUCAAUUUUUUAUAUGUAUUCCAAAACAGCAGGAUACCAGGGUGAAAAAAUAUCUGCAUAGACAUCAGUAUAUGAAUAAGGCUUUUUUUUUUGUCAUUUCUUGCCCUGAAACCAGCAAACUCAUGUGACAGCUACGUCUGCGAAUGCAUCAUCUGGACACAGAGGAGAUGUGACGCAGACGAAUACGCAAGAUGACAGCAUGAAGGAACCCCAGACCCACCUUCAAAUCCUGUUGGUUAUUCCUUCAGUGACGCAGAACGGAGCAGACGUCGGCACAAAAAAAUAAAAAAUCAAACUGUUGAAGGAGACUGGAUUGGAGGCAGACACACAACUCUGCAUGAGAAAGCUUGACAAUGUGUUCCUGAACAUUUGCUAAGAACUGAGGAUGAUGUGUCGUGUUUCUGAGCGAGCCAAAGUACUCAUGCAUCAGCUCAGCGUCUAUUUCCUGAUGUGUCCCAGCAUGAGACGCUCUUUGAUUCCUCUGACUCAGUCACAGUUCUGUAGGUCCCUUUUUUUUUCGCAAAGAUAAUGACGGGAAAAUGUGAAAGUAAAGAAAAAAAGAUAAAUCUGAGAGUUGAAAUGGCUAAAAAGCCACUGGCCAUUAACCACCGAUCGGGGCUGUCAUAUUAUCUGGAAACACAGAUUGAUGGGAGGUUUGGCCCUAAGGGAAAUGCUUUGACUGUCUGCCUUGAUAAUAGCCUUGUACUGCCCACUGGAAGUCAGAGCUCUGUGAAAAAGAUAUGCUAUUGAGUAUGAUGGUGAAUUCAUGUCACACUCUGUCUUUGCAAGAUGAUCUUACAGCCAAGGUCUUGUCUGGUCGUAUUUUUCUCUCUCUCUUUCGGUUGGAGGGAUUCUGUCAGAUUAGAAAAAGCUUGUCUUUUCGGUAAAUUCUCUCUUAUAUGACUUAUGUUCUUGUAACAGAAGCCAGUUACACGGCGUAGGCCAACGCUCUGACUCUGUUGUUGUAACACUGUUUUGCAUCCCCAUGCACUGCCACUCCCUGUUACAUACUCGUAUAAACAUUCUGUAGAAAUGCAGAAGAAAGCAUGUGUUUUGCAUACUCUUCGGCUGAUAAUUCAAGCGUGUAAGAGAUAGGUGCAUUUUUCUUGGCUAGCUUUGAAUACCAGCUUGACCUGGGCAUGGACUUAGGUUUGCAUGUAUGUAAGAGGCUUGAAUUUAGUUUAAUUUGUGUGCUCACUUAGGUCGUUUCAUAGACUCGAGACAAGAUCAGCUGAAAAAGAGGCAGGGUACACUCUGAACAGGUCUCCAGAAAGUUAAGGAAAGAUGGAUUAAAAAAUAAAAUAUUGAAAUUAAACUGGAAUAAGUAACAAAAAAAUUCUGGCCAAUCAGGGGGCUCCUUGCAACUGGCCAAUCAGAGAGCACUACAUAUAUCCUGCUCAUCAGAAUGAUUCUUUUAAUCCUGUUUUUAUGCUUUUUUUCCUUCGAGUAAGGCCUAAUUUCCUUCUUUGGCUGUAUCUCAUUGGCUUUUCAAUUUUGUUGCAUACAUAUAAAGUCAUUUACUACAAACAAAGUUAACUUAGCUACUUAAAUCUACAUAAAUAUGCCUAACUUUUUAAAAGUGAAAUUUAACGAACUGUUUUUUUAUUGUAUAUGUAUUGAUUCCUGCCUAAAACACC